UAGUUGUAUAUCGUGUGCAAAGGCGCUAUAUAUAUACUUUAUUCAUCUUGAACACAAACACUACAUUGCGCAGUGAAUUGUAUACGCAUCAUAAUUAAAGAAUUCCACUUUAAGAAAAAUGUCUGACCCAUGCAACUGCCAAAAAACGGGAAAUUGUCAGUGUUCAGGCAUCUGUCCCUCCACUGGGUGUAAUUGUGCUUCUGGGUGUAAAUGUGUAGCCGGCUGUAAAUGUCCCGGAUGUAAGAUUGUAAAUACAGUGCAGGUUUCUGCGCAUACGGAAUAGAGUGUAUCCCACCCGACACGUGUAAAUGUUCUGCGGGAUGUAGCUGCAAAUAGUGAAUAAAUGGUUGCAUGAAUAGACAUCAUUCAUUUGUAAAUAGUGUACAUAACAGUAAAUGCAUAAUGUUGAUCAUUAUCCAGAUUUUCAUUUGUUCGUUUUUUUUUUAUAUACAUUCUGUGUUUCUGUUUAUGAAAUAAAUAAUUAAAAUUACAAGUACAGAGUU